rnacentral:rRNA from 1 species
CAGUCGCCGCGGGAAUACGGAGGGGGCUAGCGUUGUUCGGAAUUACUGGGCGUAAAGCGCACGUAGGCUGCUUUGUAAGUUAGAGGUGAAAGCCUGGUGCUCAACACCAGAACUGCCUUUAAGACUGCAGAGCUAGAACGUCGGAGAGGUGAGUGGAAUUCCGAGUGUAGAGGUGAAAUUCGUAGAUAUUCGGAAGAACACCAGUGGCGAAGGCGGCUCACUGGACGACUGUUGACGCUGAGGUGCGAAAGCGUGGGGAGCAAACAGGAUUAGAUACCCCAGUAGUCCCUGUCUCUUAUAU